rnacentral:lncRNA from 1 species
AAAGUUGGACUUGAAAAUUGUCCUUCUGUGCACGAGGGUUGCAAGUGUCUGACGUGUUAACACAACACUGGUGAGUUUUACACAGGGACUUUGAAAGCGGGUGAAGGGCUGUGGAGGGUGGCUCUGGUGUGACCCGCUUUCUCGGAGCACUCUCACCCUCUCACCAGUAGGCUGUGACACAGGCACAAGUUUCUGCCAUAGCAACCUCAAGGGACGCCUCGCGGUGUAUUCUCUACUUCUGGUACUUGUUCCAAGCAGCUGUUCGCCACUGCAGGAAAUGGAUGGAGAGUGGAAGUUAUGCCUAAAAUGUCUCCUUUGCUUAUUUCUGGUCACGAAGCAGACAUAAUGUUAGCUUGGACUCAGUUUCUCUGCUUAAUGACUGUAAGCCUGAUGCUGUCCAUUUUCACCCACUAUGAGUGGCAUCCCUCUUUGAUGCUUCAUCAUUGCUCUUCCACAACUGGAAGAGUCACCAUGGUUCUCUCGGCGGUGCUUGCCUGGGGUUCAGACACUGUUCUGGGAAGAGGACCAUCUUUUAUGGACAGCCGACAAGUGCUGGCAAUGGCCCGUGUUUCCUCCUUCAGUCUCUUCCGUGGUUGCUCGAAGUAGGUUAUAUUACUCUACUUGUUCUCUUGGGAAAAGAGAAGUUGAGCAGCCUUAAAGAAUGCACUUGAAGGAUCACAGCGAGUGAGCGGCAGUUCAUGAUCAAGCCAAGCAGAACCUGAUGCCAAGCUCCCCUGCCCCUCCUUUGAGGAGCAGUCGUGAUGGAGUGGAUCUGUGUCACCUCUUGCAGAUUCAGUCGCUGAAUAAAAGCAGGACUAGCAUUUUGUCCCAUGCCCU